rnacentral:rRNA from 1 species
GGCAAAAGCUCAAAUUUGAAAUCUGCCUUACGGCCGAGUUGUAAUUUGUAGAUGGUAACUCUGUGGCAAGCCUUUGCUCAAGUUUUCUGGAAAGAAACAUCAUGGAGGGUGACAAUCCCGUGAGGCAUUGGUGCAGCUACGUGUAGAGUGCUAUCAAAGAGUCGAGUUGUUUGGGAAUGCAGCUCAAAGUGGGUGGUAGACACCAUCUAAAGCUAAAUAUUGGCGAGAGACCGAUAGCGAACAAGUACUGUGAAGGAAAGAUGAAAAGCACUUUGAAAAGAGAGUGAAAAAGUACGUGAAAUUAUUGAUACAGAAGGGUAUAAAAUUGGACUCAAGGUCUAGGUUCGGUAGCCUCUCGGGGUUGCUUUGUCCUAGGCCCUAAACCAGCAUCAGUUUUGGCAGGUGGAUAAACAACAUGGAAUGUAGCUGCUUGCAGUGUUAUAGACUUGUUGCAUACACCUUGCAGGGACUGAGGACCGCC